rnacentral:rRNA from 1 species
GACGAACGCUGGCGGCGUGCUUAACACAUGCAAGUCGAACGGAGCGAAUGAAAGCUUGCUUUUAUGAGCUUAGUGGCAAACGGGUGAGUAACACGUAGACAACCUGCCGAUCAGAUGGGGACAACAUUCCGAAAGGAAUGCUAAUACCGAAUGGCGUGUAGGGGAGGCAUCUUCCCUACAUGAAAGAUGGCCUCUAUAUAUAAGCUAUCACUGAUCGAUGGGUCUGCGUCUGAUUAGCUAGUAGGUAAGGUAACGGCUUACCUAGGCGACGAUCAGUAGCCGGUCUGAGAGGAUGAACGGCCACAUUGGGACUGAGACACGGCCCAGACUCCUACGGGAGGCAGCAGUGGGGAAUCUUCCGCAAUGGGCGCAAGCCUGACGGAGCAACGCCGCGUGAGUGAAGAAGGUCUUCGGAUCGUAAAGCUCUGUUGAAGGGGACGAACGUAUAUAGUGCGAAUAGUGCUGUGAAUGACGGUACC